AUUCCAGUGCCUGGGUACAGGAAAGCAGAAGAGGUUGGACUUCUUGUAAAUGCUAGGAAGCGAAAGUCAAACGUACUGAUGUUGACAAACAAAGCCAAGGGACUUUCCAGUGAAAGCAAGCCUGCUUCCUUAGUCAUAUCUCAUAGUCUGUCCUGUGUGUAUGAGGCAGUAACGGAGAGAGACAAAGAGACAAAAACAAGGACCAACACAAUGGAGGACGAGAAGACCUAUGACCCCGGUGACAGGACACUCAAGUUUGUCAACAGACAGGAUGACAUUACUCUGGAUGAUAUCCCUGAAACCUUGAGGGCAGAGAUGUCCUUUGGUUACGCGGCCAUCCCAAAGUCACUGUCCAAAUUGUUUAAAAGCCUGAAGCAGUUAAAAGGUCCGGGGCCACACUCUGACCAGAGGCUGCAACUGCUGCAGAACUGUCCAACUGUCGCCUUGCCCCAGGUACAUGGGGUCACUGCCUGCCCCUCCAUGCGUGCCUGUCCCACCUGUGGUGCACUAUUGGAGCAUGACAUGACCGCUUGUAAGAAUUUACUCUGCCCGCGUUGCGAGAAAGAGUUCUGCUUUGUGUGCCUUAAGCUCAAAUCUGAGUGCAUGAAGACCAGCUCACCAUACAAAGCCUGCUCUGCUGGUGUUGCCCCCAGGCAGACCUCCAUACCCACCUGGAGUGGGGCCCAUUGAUUGCUAUGGAAUCCCGGCAUUCUCCAUCAUGGCUCAGUAUGAGGUAAGGAUCAUUUGUAGAUUGUUCGUAAGAGUCAUUGUUACUGUAAGAUAUCUUAAUAAAGAGUUGUUUUAUUGGUGUGGCAACCAGGUAAUGAGCACUAUUUCUCUUUGAUGUAUUUUCAUCUGUGUGUGUUUGUAACUCAUGAUAAAUCAGAGAACAAAGAGGACGGAUGGAAAGCUAAAAUAGGUCAACUGAUAGGGAAGGGAGCAUACGCCAACCAGGGAAAUGCCAGCUACAGCAGCAUAUGCCAGCCUUCGCUUUGGCUCCCCCUCCUGUUCAGCUCAGGCAUUUGGAGUCGUCGGCCUACUAGCUGCCGAACCAGCUGCUGGCAAACGCCCUAAACUCAUCAACCCUGGACUUGUCUUGUCAUCAUUACACACACCUGGCUCCAAUCCCCACUCUAUCACUCUAUAUAUACUCCCUUUGUCAUUUGUCUUUGUCUGUCAUUGUUGUUUUGUUUUCCUGAAAUGAAUCGCUGCUACUAAUUCCUGAGUACCUUGUUAUUUUCUGCACUUUGGGUUUCGUCCCACUUUUUAUAGAGAUAUAUGUGUAUAUAUAUAUAUAUAUAUUAGUGCUGUAAUGAAUUCAGUAAUUCUAAACCUGGGACUACCUCCUGCUUACUCCUCUCUACACUUGUGACAUCUAUUGCCAUGGUGAUAGUCAAAGGAAUGGGAUCCCAGGUCAGUGUACCUUGGUCUCAGCACUCUGCGGUUAUAACCCUCUAGUCAGCCUGAGAGAAUAAUGAUCCUUAGUUAGUGCCAUUACCAUUAUUUCAUUAUAAAAAAACGGAUGCACACUAGUUCUGUUCAAAUCUAUAAACACAACACAAACAAAAUUCCAAGCAAUGCCAGCUUGGUGAAAUUAGAAGAGCGAUGCAUCCCAGCUGUCACGCAUCCCAGCUGUCACGCAUCCCAGCUGUCACGCAUCCCAGCUGUCACGCAUCCCAGCUGUCACGCAUCCCAGCUGUCACGCAUCCCAGCUGUCACGCAUCCCAGCUGUCACGCAUCCCAGAUUUGGCAUGGGUCCUCAGAUCCUCAAAAGGUUUUACAGCUGCACCAUUGAGAGCAUACUGACGGUUUGCAUCACCGCCUG